AUGGAGAGGAAUUUACCCUGCCAUGCCGCCAUCCUCGUCGGUGGCCUUUCCCUCCUGACCCCAACACCAUCAUCCCCGCCGACCCAUCUCAGUAAGGCCGGCAACUCCAGCGCCUCCGAGACCUCAGACACGGGCGUGAGUGGCUCGUCGGCGCUGGACCUCCUCUGCCCGAUGACCUUGUGCCAGCUCAGGCGUAGCAGCUGGCCCGUGUUCCAUCUUCAGAGGAGUAGAGAGGCGGUCAAGGAGGAGGGGAUGGCGGAGGGCCGGAGCUUGGCUAGGAACGGGGAGGAGAAGUGGCGGCGGAGGGAUGCCGGAGAACGAUCCGGAGACGGCGGAGGUUGCGUGCCUGAGAAAGGCUGA
rnacentral:rRNA from 1 species